rnacentral:lncRNA from 1 species
CAGAUACAUCGAUCGAUCGAUCAGAGCUUUUUCUAUCAUCAUUAGCUAGCAAGAUGAAGCAGUACUACAAAGCAGCGCUGCUUCGCUACUGGGUAGUAGUCCCGUUCCUCCUGUGGCUGGUAGCCACGGAGGAGCAACUCGCCGCCGGCGCCGUGGCCGGGGCAGCUGCCGAGUCGUCGUCGACUUGGGGCGGCCAGGGCCAGCUGCAGCUGCCUCUCUGGGUGCGACCCGGAGACCGGCGCCUCCUGGGGAUGUCUGUGGCCGGCAUGGCGGUGGAUGCCGUCGUGGCGGCCGACGGCACCGGCCAGUACACUACCAUCAAGCAAGCCGUGAAGGCAGCAGAGGCGGACACGAGCGGGCGCCGGUACACAAUCCAUGUGAAAGCUGGCAAGUACGUCGAAGACGUUGAGAUAUGGAGGCCUAAUAUUACCAUGAUAGGCGACGGGAUCGGGCGUACCAUAAUCAGCGGCAUGAAGAGCAAAAACCAGAAUCGGGGGACGGCCUGUACGGGCACACUGAAGCUUACGGUGGAGAACACCGCGGGGCCGCAGGCAAUGCAGGCGGCGGCGGUGGUGGUGAAGUCGGAUCGCGCCGUCUUCUUCAGGUGCGAGAUAACGGGUUACCAGGACACGCUGCUGGCAGAUGUUUACAGGCAGUUCUACAGGGAAUGUGUUAUCUCCGGGACAAUUGAUUUCGUGUGGGGCGAGGCGACGGCCGUCUUCCAGAUGUGCCACCUCCUGGUGCGUCGCCCGUUGGAGGGCUCCCACAACACCAUCACCGCGCAAGGGCGCAACCACUCCGAGCCCGUCGUCGCACGCUCGGGUUUCGUAUUUCAGGAGUGCAACGUGUCGACCAAGGAGGACCUGAGGGGCGUGGACACCUACCUGGGCCGCCCCUGGCACCCGGACUCCCGCGUCAUCUUCAUGUCGUCCUACUUGGACGGCAACGUGGUCAAUCCCAAGGGAUGGGUGGCGUGGCGCAUCAACAACGCCACCGACGAGCGCUCCACCGCCAGCACCGUCUACUACGCCACUGGUGGAGAAACCAUCUUUCGUCGGUUGGCCGAUUUCCACAAUAGUCCCGGAUGCAAUAAAAACCGGGGCUAAAGAUGAUCUU